GUCUUUAAGAAAUUAAUUUAAAGUCCAAUCUGCCCAAUGAAUUUUUUUAAUGGCUGCAGAAUUUUUUUACUGUACAAAGGUAGCAUAAUAAUUUGUUUUUUAAUUAAAAACUAGAAUGAAAGAUUAAAUGAAAUAUAAACUGUUUCAAUUAAAUUAAUUAUUAAAUUUUUUAUUUAAGUAAAAAAACUUAAAUAAUUUUUAAAGACGAUAAGACCCUAUAGAAUUUAAUUUAUUUUCUUAUUUAAAAAAAUAUUUAAAUAAAUUUUAUUGGGGUAAUAAAAAAAUUAAUUUAAUUUUUUUUAAAAAAUACAUAAUAUAUAUGAAUAUUAUAUCUUAAUUUUUAAAUUAAAAAAAUUAAUUACCUUAGGGAUAACAGCAUAAUUU
rnacentral:rRNA from 1 species